rnacentral:rRNA from 1 species
CCUACGGGAGGCAGCAGUGAGGAAUAUUGGACAAUGGGCGCGAGCCUGAACCAGCCAAGUCGCGUGAGGGAAGACGGUCCUAUGGAUUGUAAACCUCUUUUGUCGGGGAGCAAAAGACGCCACGCGUGGCGUUCCGAGAGUACCCGAAGAAAAAGCAUCGGUUAACUCCUUGCCAUCAGCCGCGGUAAUACGGAGGAUACGAGCGUUAUCCGGAUUUAUAGGGUUUAAAGGGUGCGCAGGCGGAAGAUCAAGUCAGCGGUAAAAUUGAGAGGCUCAACCUCUUCGAGCCGUUGAAACUGGUUUUCUUGAGUGAGCGAGAAGUACGCGGAAUGCGUGGUGUAGCGGUGAAAUGCAUAGAUAUCACGCAGAACUCCGAUUGCGAAGGCAGCAUACCGGCGCUCAACUGACGCUCAUGCACGAAAGUGUGGGUAUCGAACAGGAUUAGAUACCCCUGUAGUC